CUACCUUGUUACGACUUAGCCCCAGUCACCGGUUUUACCCUAGGGCGCUCCUCGCGGUCACGCACUUCAGGUACCCCCGGCUUCCAUGGCUUGACGGGCGGUGUGUACAAGGCCCGGGAACGUAUUCACCGCGCCGUGGCUGAUGCGCGAUUACUAGCGAAUCCAGCUUCAUGGAGUCGGGUUGCAGACUCCAAUCCGAACUGAGACAGGUUUUCGGGUUCAGCGCCGGGUCGCCCCGUGGCAUCCCGCUGUACCUGCCAUUGUAACACGUGUGUCGCCCCGGACGUAAGGGCCGUGCUGAUUUGACGUCAUCCCCGCCUUCCUCGCAGCUUGCGCCGGCAGUCUCCACAGAGUCCCCAGCUUUACCCGCUGGCAACUGUGGACAGGGGUUGCGCUCGUUAUGGCACUUAAGCCGACACCUCACGGCACGAGCUGACGACAACCAUGCAGCACCUCGCAGAAUGUCCGAAGAAAGGCCCCUUUCGGGACCCGUCAUCCUGCGUUUGAACCCGGGUA
rnacentral:rRNA from 1 species